GACCGUUAUCAUCACAGAGGAAUGUUUAAGACGUGUGUAGCGUUCUUUUAAAUUUUAAUGUAGAAAUUGCGAGAGUGAUGAUUUAGGGGGUAAGACAUCCGUCAUGUUAUUACAAUAUUGAUUUAAACUUUCAAGAAUAAUUAUUUUAGGCUUAUUUACAUUGGUGUUGAUUUAUAGUGAUUAGCCUAGUCAAUAAGAUCCAAUAUGAUGUGAUAUAGGCUACGAAAUAUAGUAUUAUUGUUAUCGGUGAUUGCCAGCACAUUAACGGUGAUUAUCAUCCUCACGAAAGACUGUGGAAACUAGCUCACUUUCAUUUCCUGAAAGAAGACGUGCAUCGGAAUUAUGUAUAGCUGUCGUUAAAUAAAAGUACGUCUCGUCAAGUAAAAGUGACGCGCAACAAUGUACAUAUAAACAGUUCUCCUCCGAACCUGCCACGUUGCACGAAUCCAUACAGGAAGUACGUCUGGGAACACAAGUAUAUAAUAUAUUGUAACAGCUCCCUGCUGUUUCAUUACAAUAUAAAUAUACAUUAAUAUACAAAAGACAAUUUGGGGGUAAAAUAUCACAUUUACACACGGGCCUUAUUAAGGGACAUACAGACACUUAUAAUUAUAACAGCGUUUCUGUUAGUAGAGUAUUUAAUUGUCUUAAAAUACAGUUCACUUUUCUUUUUGUAAGGUAACAAAAUGUGGUGUUUUGUUUGUACAUUUACAUUUGUGAAUAUGAAAUUUGGCCAAAAGAAAUGAUGAAAUUAAUUACAUGAAAAAUGUUCAGCUAAUUUCUAUCGUAGGUGAAGAAUCCAAGCGGUACAUCUCUCCACAAUAGUAUAUUAUCAAUAAAUCCUUUCCAAUAAGGCCUGACAUAAGGGACAUAUACAACAUCCUGCUGAAACAAACUGAGUGAGCUGUGACUUAUAUCUUAAAUGAGUCUCUCUGGGGAGAGAGAGGAGGAGACCACUGCCUCUAAAAUGAGUCUCUCUGGGGAGAGAGAGGAGACCACUGCCUCUAAAAUGAGUCUCUCUGGGGAGAGAGAGGAGACCACUG